rnacentral:rRNA from 1 species
UACAGAGGGGGCAAGCGUUAUUCGGAAUUAUUGGGCGUAAAGGGCGCGUAGGCGGCUUCGCAAGUGGAAGGUGAAAUCCCUCGGCUUAACCGAGGAAGUGCAUCCGAAACUGGCGAGCUAGAGUACGAAAGAGGAUCGCGGAAUUCCCGGUGUAGAGGUGAAAUUCGUAGAUAUCGGGAGGAACACCGGUGGCGAAGGCGGCGAUCUGGGUCGAUACUGACGCUGAGGUGCGAAAAGCGUGGGGGAGCAAACAGG